ACGGGCAUAGCUCAGUUGGUAGAGCGGCGGUCUCCAAAACCGCAGGUCGUAGGUUCGAACCCUGCUGCCCGUGCCA
rnacentral:tRNA from 1 species